rnacentral:tRNA from 1 species
GCCUAGGUGGUGUAGUGGUCAGCACGCUCGGCGCGUAUUCGAGAGGUCCGUGGUUCGAAUCCCGGCGAUGGCG